rnacentral:lncRNA from 1 species
CUCCUUCUUCCACUCCAUCCUUCACCCUUCAUUUGUCUCCAGGCAAGGAGACACUGCUUUAUUUCCCAGUCCCAGUUUAUGCCAAACUUUAUGUUCGGGUGUCCAAGCUUUGAUUUUGAUAAAUGAAGAGAAGUCUUAAUAAUGUCUCAACCAAGUCUGGCUUUUAAGACUUUUCUCUCAUUCAAGAUGCAAAAACCAACCAACCAAACACAAAAACCUGACAGUCAGAACUGAGCAGUAAGUUUGUUUUUCUAGCUAGUAUCUGCUCUCCCUCUAAAGCAAUGAAAUAUUGACUCGGAGAAUAAAGAUAUCACUCACUAAGCACACUUUUUUUUUUUUAAUUUUUUUUUAUUUAUUUAUGAUAGGCACACAGUGAGAGAGAGAGAGGCAGAGACACAGGCAGAGGGAGAAGCAGGCUCCAUGCACCGGAAGCCCGACGUGGGAUUCGAUCCCGGGUCUCCAGGAUCGCGCCCUGGGCCAAAGGCAGGCGCCAAACCGCUGUGCCACCCAGGGAUCCCCACUAAGCACACUUUUAAGAGAAAUUUAGAAAGUGACUACCUCUUCCCAUCCCGGUGGAAGACUUGGGGGUUUGCUCUGGGAAGAAGCUCCAUCAAGUGGCUCCGGACAAAGGAUAUCAGGAAGCCAUGGGGAGGGAUACACCCUAAUGAUCAAAGUCUACAUAUGAAAGAUUUCAUUACCUCCUUUCUGUUUCCUUAG